rnacentral:rRNA from 1 species
AUUGACCGCUGGCGGCAGGCCUAACACAUGCAAGUCGAACGAGUGGCGGACGGGUGAGUAAUGUCUGGGAAACUGCCUGAUGGAGGGGCUAACUACUGGAAACGGUAGCUAAUACCGCAUACCAUCAGAUGUGCCCAGCGGGGAUUAGCUAGUUGGUGGGGUAACGGCUCAACAAGGCGACGAUCCCUAGCUGGUCUGAGAGGAUGACCAGCAACACUGGAAAUGAGACACGGUCCAGACUCCUCCGUGAGGCAGCAGUGGGGAAUAUUGCACAAUGGGCGCAAGCCUGAUGCAGCCAUGCCGCGGGUAUGAAGAAGGCCUUCGGGUUGUAAAGUACUUUCAGCGGGGAGGCGUUACCCGCAGAAGAAGCACCGGCUAACUCCGUGCCAGCAGCCGCGGUAAUAC